CUUACCUAGAAAUUGCAUGGGGUGAGAAUGAUUUAUUAUGCCUGUAAUGGAAGGGAAUCCAGGGAAGGGAGAGAAAACAAUAUGCACAAGUUUAAUCGUCACAUUGAGAACUGACAGUGAGCACAGUGAAACAUUGCUGGGCGCUAUGGAG